UAACAACCUAGGCACUCUAUUCUAUCAUUAACCCUAACUAUCCAUUUUUUGUCAACCGUUGGUAUCGGGAUCGAGCGUUCGACCAACAAUGGUCGAAAAGUCCGGUCAAACACAAUGAUCGUUCGAUGGGUACCAAAAUGCAUCAAAAACUCAAAACCCCUACCCAAAUCACUUUCACUGUCAAACUGGAUAAUAAUUGCAUUUCUUGUUUGGUGAAUUUAGAUUUUCUUCCUUGCUUGUGGAUAUUCUCUUGUAUAUACGCUUCUUUUACACCCUUGGGUCGUUUUGCUUUUUGGUCUUCUUUGACUGAUAUAGGCAAUUCCUUUAAUGGUGCUUGUCUUUUGAUGAGGGAUUUUAAUUAUGUUUUAUCCCAUGCGGAGAAGAGAGGUGUUAGGAAUUUUGGAACCUCUUCCCAUAAUGAUUUUGUGGAUUUUGUUCAGUCUAAUGCUUUGUUAGAUUUGGGUUUUGUUGUUAACAAGUUUACUUGGAGCAAUCACUGUUCGGGUUGGGCAAAUAUUCGAGAGAGACUUGAUAGAGGUACUUAUCAAAAUAUCCCUAAGCCCUUUCGGUUUGAAGUUUUUUGGACCCGAGAUCAGUCUCGUCAUUCAGUGGUAGCAAAGGCUUUGUUGCCUCUGGUUGAGGGUUCUCCAGCUUUUUCUUUGAGCAAGAAGUGGAAGAACACCAAGAACGCUUUGAAAUCUUGAAAUCAGAUUCAUUUUGGUAACAGUCAAGCCAAAAUUAAAUCUUUGAUAGCUGAUAUCAGUGAUAUUCAAUCUUAUCCUCAUUCUUCAGUUAAUGCUUCUAGAAAGGUUGUCCUUCAGGUGGCCUUACAAGAGCAGCUUCUGCGAGAGGAAGUUUUGUGGAAGCAGAAAUCUAGAGAAUUAUGGCUCACAUGUAUUGAUCUCAAUACUAAAUUUUCCCAUGCUUCUACUGCUUGAAGUCGCUGGCACACACAAACAUGAAGAAAGUGCUCAGGGUUGACUAAGUUGUUCACCACCCAAGAGAAAGGUAUUUCCAAUUUGGGUUGAAUCCCUUGGAUGCGGACAAGCUUCACUUCAGCAUCACCAGAAGGGUAGCAAGACUCAACAUGUUCACUCAAAUUUUCUGGAGGAACUUUCUGUUCAUCCUUAUCUUCUUCUCUGGAUGAUUCCUCAUUAUUUAAGGAUUUGUAUGGAAAAUAUUCUGGUAGAAGACUUUUUACAGCAUCAUGUAAUGUGAAGCAAUUACCUGCAGUACAAGAAAUAUAAGAAGCUAUGAAUAGUCCUGAAGCUGCUGAAACAGUUUGGCAGUCAUGCUCCCCAUGAUCAACGUCACAAUUAGCAGACAGAGUAUAAAGACCAACAUAAAUAGAGGAAACUCAUCUUACACAAACGCACAUGCAACUGGUCCAUAUGACAGCUAACGAUAUGAAAACCAAGAUGAGUCAAAAAAUACCUCUCUCUCUCUCUCUCUCUCUCUCUCUCUCACACACACACACACACACACACACACACACACACACACACACACACACACACAUCUCAA